rnacentral:lncRNA from 1 species
AAACGGUGGAAGGUUCUGCCGAUGAAGACAUCAGAGAGAUAGAAGAGGCCAACCAAAUCCGUCUGCGUGCUAUAUCAACGAUCCAAGCUCUGCUGGAUGUAUGAAUUAUCCAUCGGCAGCGUGCCCUGCUCUUUUCUUUUAAACACUCCUGAUUAUUUUGGUCUAGCCGAUAGGACUGUUAUCGGCACCUUUUUAAAACACUAAGUCCGGCCCC